UACGUAGGGUGCAAGCGUUGUCCGGAAUUACUGGGCGUAAAGCGCACGUAGGCGGCUUUCUAAGUCGGGGGUGAAAUCCUGGAGCUCAACUCCAGAACUGCCUUCGAUACUGGAGAGCUUGAGUCCGGGAGAGGUGAGUGGAACUGCGAGUGUAGAGGUGAAAUUCGUAGAUAUUCGCAAGAACACCAGUGGCGAAGGCGGCUCACUGGCCCGGUACUGACGCUGAGGUGCGAAAGCGUGGGGAGCAAACAGG
rnacentral:rRNA from 1 species